CAAUGAGGCUCCAGGGAGACCUCACUGUGGCCUCCCAGUACUUGAGAGGAGCAUAUAAACAGGAGGGGGGACGACUGUUUACAUGGGUAAAAGAGCUGAAGAUCUAUUACCUUAACCAUUAGCUAAUGGGUGAAGACUGCUGAAGUUCUGGGACAGUGUUCACAGAAUUACCUGUACUGCUUGAAGGAAAUCUGUGUUCUGAGAAAGCAUUAGGCUCUUGCAGCUCAUGUUUUAAGGGAGAGCAUCAAACAUCUCAGCUACAACUAUGGGAGCUCACACCAAGAAACAGCUGCUACUGCAGACCUUGUAAAAGAAAAAACAAAAAAAG
ensembl:lncRNA